GAGAAGGGACAGCUCCGGGCGCUGGACGUCCGGGCGGCGCCCUCCCGCGGGUCGCCCGCUCCUGCCCUCGGUCCUCGGGGUCUUCCCUUUUCUUCCCUUCGCUUCGGUGGGGAGUCCCGGAAUCCCCCGGAAUCCGGCGCCUUCUUUGGCAUCCCUUGUGCAGCGCUUUUGGAACUUGGUGAACUUGUUCCCUUGGUUCUGGGGGCGGAAUCCAGGGGGGCGCCACCACUGAGGGACAUCCCAGACCUUUCAAUUUUUUUCUUUUUAUUUUAAGAAGCCUGGCUAAAGUACCCGGGCUGGUCUCGAACUUGCGAUCCUCCUGGAAUUACAGGCGUGCGCCACCGCGCCCCGGGGCGGGGGACUCGUUCUUCAUCUCACCUGCCUCGGUUUCCCUUCCUUGCGCCGUGUGGAGCCUGGAAGAGCUCAUGAUGGGAAGUUCACAGCACAAGAGCCCUGCUGCAGAAGUCACCCUGAUUUUAUCCAAGAAGAAACUGAGGCAUCUGCAAAGCCACCUGCCCAAAGGCCCUAUGCGAGUGAACCAGUGUGGACUGGCACCUCAACGACUGCCUAACAACCCGCCACCUGAGCUGCUUACUGUUCGCUGUGUUUCUCCGGAAGUCAACUGUUUAUUUUAAUGUAUUUAUUUAAAAGGAAAUCCGGUAUUGCCAAGGAAACCAGAGCUAUCCAUCAAAAAUAGAAGAGAAACUCACAAAUAGAGACAUUAUCCCAAUAAAAGGGCAUUGGUGAGACCCAGCCGCAUCCUGUCGCCUGAGGUGUGCGAUCUGUGAAAAAGGGACAUCAACGAGGUGUAAAAGCCUCACAGAGGACUCUUCCUCCUGUUGUCAGAGCUAUUGAAGGUCCCUGGGAGGGGAAGGUGCUCUGCUCGGUGACUCAGAGCCACCCAGUGCUCCUGACUCCGUGCCCCUGGGCCUCCUGCUGGUGGGGUGUGUCCUUCACAGGGAAGCACCUGCCCACACACCUGGACGCCUCCCCAGGACCAGGUGAAGGAAGGAGCAGACCCAUUGCCCCUCCCUGUUUCCGAGUGCUCUUGGGAGCCUCCCUGUUCCCCUUAUUUUCUCUUUAAAUAUGUUCCUGUCUCUCCAGUGAGACUGGAGGCAGAGACCUCCGAACACCACCUUGGAUCCCCGCUCCGGAUGUUUCGAUAAUAAUAAGCUUGAAACCUCCACAUAGUGGGGGGGAGAUAAAAGUGUGUCGGAUGGGGUUCUCGCCCCCAAACCUCAGCCCCUGUAGGAGCUGAGUGCGUCCCCAUCCUAGUCAGAGCCGCAUGGUGGACAGAGCCCAUCCCCCUCCCCCUUGAUCUUGAACCUGGCCAUGUGACUCAGUUCUGCCACUCGGCCAUGACACACACACACAAAGACGUGGAAGGCACUCAGGCGGUGGGCUGCCCCUUGCACCACUGCCAUUUCCAUGAGCAGAAUGGACAGCUGAUAGCCACUGGUCCCUGGAAAUGAAAGGCACAGACAGCAGAGCUCCACCGGCCUGUGGAAGGCCUGGCCUUGUGGGAAGCCCUGGCCUGCAGAACCUCUGUCUGGGGCACAGAAUUGCUCCUGCCGAGCUACAGACAGAAGAAAUGAUGGAGUCAUCCAAGCCUGGGGGCAAGUCUGAUCACCAGCCUGAAGACAGCCUAACAAAUCUCCAAGUUGUAGCAGGAUAAGUCCCGGGGAGACAGUGUGGGUUCUUGUCAAGAAGGGUGGGGAGGGGCUGGGCUGGGGCUCCGCAGUAGCACACUCGCCUGGCAUGUGUGAGGCACUGGGUUCGAUUCUCAGCAUCACAUAGAAAGACAUAAAUAAAAUAAGUGUCUCUCAACAACUAAAAACAUAUUUUAAAAAGAAGGAUGGAGAAGUAAAGAAAAUAUGAUUAAAGUCUAUAGGUCAUCCUGGGCACGGAUCAAAUAUGAAUGCCACCCAACCUCAUGUCCGUGGUCAGUGACUCCUGACGGGCACCGGGGGUCUACUGACUUCCAUUCAAGGACCAUUUCCUUUGCUAACAGUCUGGGGAGGGGCUGGUGUGGUGGCCUGCCUCCUGUACUCAUGCCCUUGUGAAGUCUGCAUUCCCUUGGGAAGGACCGAACAACUAGGGGCUGCACCUAACACCUUGCUUUAAUGAGCAGACUGAAGUUAUGAGAUAUCACCUUCGUAGUGAUGCUCCACAGCAGGGUGACUCUGUGACUUUGGGGUCACUGCCCGACUCUCUGUAGCCUUGUAGGAUUGCGUGUUUGCAUGGAGCAUCUGCCUUGUGAGAGAACCAUGUGAUACAGAGUCAAGGGUCACUCCAGCCAGCACCACCAGGAGCUGCAGCCUUCAGCCCGACAGCCUGCUCCACCACUGUGCCAACACCAGCGAGCCAGGUGAGCUCGAAGCAGGUCCUUCCCCGGCGGAGCCUUCGGAUGAGACCCCAGCUCUGGCCAACACCUUGACCAGAGCCUGUGGGAAACCCGAGGCAAGGACCCUGCUAAGCCGUGCCUAGACUUCUGCCCACAGAAGCUGUGAGACAGUAAGUGUGAGCUGCUUUAAGCUGCUAAAUCGUGGGGUCAUUUGUGACGCAGCAGUAGAUAGCUAACAUGCAAACUUAGGGUCAACCUGAGUGCCUUAAAUGGGGGGGGGCAGGUUCUAGCUGUAGCCUCGGGGCUGGGUUAUCUGUGGUAGAAAGUGGUCCCCACAUCUGGUGGCUUACAAGUGCUGACACAUCUUGCUCCUGGUGUAUGUGGACUGUGGGCUGAUGGGACCGCGUGCCUCUAGCCUCUUUAUUCCAGGACACAGGCUGAUGGAGCAGUCUCUAUCUGGAGUGUUCCUGGCCUCAGGGAAGAGGGAGGCUGAUGGUGACCAGGCACCCGUUAGUCAAAGCUUCUGCACGCUCACGUUUCAGGGGCAAAGCCAGCCAUGAGACCAAGAACGAGGCUCUCCCCUAGCCCUGUAAUCCUGGCCCAGGGUCCACCUCCCAGGAUCCAGCACCGUCUGGGGUGGGCCCACAACCUGGCGCUCCUGGGGGUAGGGUAAGGAACUCCCAAAGGCCUCCCAGCCCCUGGCUCUUGGCCCCUCUUCCAGAGACACAUGCAGCACGACCCCCGAUGAGGCUCCUGGGAGACCCAGGUGUGGAAGCUGCAGGAAGCCCAGCACUGGGCCAAACUCCCUUCCAGCCGCCCCAGCCAGCCGCGAAGCGCGGCUCAGCUGGCUGCCCACGGCCCCAGGAGAGACCCUCGGGCAGCCCCUGAGUCUCUGUUGCGUGGGAAAGGGAAAUCUGCGCCCCCAGAGCAGGGCCUGAGGAAGGGGCUCUCCUGGGGCCACUUCCUCCACAGAGCGGGUUGGGGCGGGACGGAGACCAUGGUUUCCAGCCACACGAGAAACCCUGGCGACCCCGGCUCACACCUGGUCCCUGGCUUCCUUCCCUGAGUCAGGACGGAGCCGUAGUUUAGGGUCCGACUCUUCUGCCUCCUCUCAUCACUGAUAGAAUGGCCACCCACAACCGCGGCCAGGAAACCUCUGCAGACAGGAGAAGGCCCCCACACAGCCGGUCCCCACCUGCGGCUGCCCGGGCCUCCGCCAAGGAUCCCGCUUUUCUCACUUUCUGUGUCCAGAAGCGCUUCCUGGGGCGGCUCCCCUGCCCCCACAUGCACCCCGAGAACCCAGCACCCCAGAGCGCCCUGAGAACCCAGCACCCCAGAGCGCGAGGGCCUGGAGAAGAGUGCCCGACAGAGGCCCUCGGGUGGGGGAGGGGAAGGUGGCCCAGUGGCCCUGGGGUGGGACAGAUUUGGAGGCUUGGUUUCAGCUAUCAGUUGUCGCUUUUUCCAUAAAGUCUAAAAAUUCAGCCAAGAGAAGAGGGAGAAGAAGGAGGAGGAAGAGGAAGGAUGAUAACCGCAUAAACAUCGUUCCCUUGACUCAGGACAGAAGUCGAACUGAAUUCCCAGGCCCCUGGAGAGACCGCCCGGAUUCUGUCGGGCUCCUCCUUGUCCUCUAAGGCCAUCUGUGUAACAGAGUCACGGCACCUGAAUAGGAGAGACACAGGGCAGGUCCAGGGAGCGUGUGGCCUGGGAGCGUGUGGCCUUGGGGACCCUGAACUUCUGGCCUCUCACCGCUGGUUCCCGGUCUCAUCGGGACCGAGGGCACCGCAGAGCCGAGCCCCAGGCGCUCCCCGUUGGAAUGUUCCUGAAAGACGGUCAGAAGGCAAACAGGAAGUGGGGGGUCUGCCCUCCUCCUCCAGCCUCACCACCACCCAAACAUGGGGACCGCGGGUGGCUUACAGGAGGAGGGCCUCAGGUGUCCCCCAGCACGGCCAGGAGGGCGGAGGCCGCUUUUAGAGCAACGCAGCACUGAGAAACGCCCAAUAGGAGGGGUGGGGGCGAGCGUCCCUGUGGUUGGUAAUGUCCCCAGGGUGGGUCCCCGGUGCCCGGGAUCUGGGCUCUAUCAUAAAUACUCUACCUGCAGCCUAUGAGGCCGUCCUUUGUACUUCUCUACAUAUUUUUGAUUUUUCAUAACAAAAUCCUCCCCUUCCUUCCUUUGUGCCAAACAAUUGCUCAGGAAAAUGAUAUUUUUCCGAUCCCUCACUUAAGGUACACUGAGUGUGGGUCUCCUGUGAGCCAUCCGCUGCGGCUCUGAGGCAGGGAACCAACUUGUCCCAACCUCUUAAUCUCAUGGAACUUACUAACGAACCCUGUUCUACUUGUUAUCCUGCUUGACACAGGUAGGUGUUGUGUUUUUCUUUCCGAGAUUCCUGGGUAUCUGUGUGGGUGAGUUGUCUCUCAGGCUAAAAGGCCACGGAAAUAGCCCCUCAAACAAGCGACCUCUGGGCCAACUGGGCGAAUCCAGCCUCAGAACUCAGCCUGACUCGCGAGUCUGUACAAACCUUUGGGUCUGAGGAGGUAAGGACACUGCCCUUUCCCAUGGGAGCCCACCCAUGACCCCACAGUUCAAGAUUCCAAGAUUAACAGAGAGGACCGAGAAUUUCUUUUGCAUUUAUUUAUUUAUUUCUGGUGGGGAGUGAACUCAGGGGCACUUAACCGCUGAGCAUGCCACAUCCCCAGCCUUUUUUGUUUUUACUUUAUUUAGAGACAGGUUCUCACCGAGUUGCUGAGUUGCUGAGGCUGGUUUCAACUUGUGAUCCUCCUGCCUCAGCCCUUCCCAGCCACGGGAUUAUAGGCGUGAGCCACCGGAGCAGGCUGAGACCUAGAAAUUCUUGACCAUUCCUAUGCUUCCAGGCAGAGGUAUUUAAGCCACUCUGAGCAAACUAGACUCCCUUUGACAGUCUGGAAUUCCAUCCCCAGGUGACAU